AGAGAGAGACAUGCGCCGCAUAUCAAUAAGCGGAGGAAAAGAAACUAACAAGGAUUCCCUUAGUAACGGCGAGUGAAGCGGGAAGAGCUCAAAUUUGAAAUCCUCAAGGUUUUACCUUGACGAAUUGUAGUUUAAAGAAGUGUUUUCUGCUGAAGUUUUGGUAAAAGUUCUUAGGAAUAGGACAUCAUAGAGGGUGAGAAUCCCGUAUUUGACCAUUAUUUUCAGCUUUGUGAUACACUUUCAAAGAGUCGGAUUGUUUGGGAAUGCAGUCCAAAAUGGGUGGUAAAUUUCAUCUAAAGCUAAAUAUUGGCGAGAGACCGAUAGCGAACAAGUACCGUGAGGGAAAGAUGAAAAGAACUUUGAAAAGAGAGUUAAACAGUACGUGAAAUUGUCAAAAGGGAAGCGUUUGACACCAGUGUUGUUUUCUCGAAAAUCAAUUAAAAAUGGCUCGAUUUUGUAUUGCUGAGACCUUAAAAGCUCACUGUACAUUUUUCGUGUCUUUUUUAAUGCACUUUUCGUUUAACAAGUCAACAUCAGUUUCUUUUGUUGUAAAAGGGUCAUUGGAAGGUGGCUUUCUUUUCGGAGAAAGUGUUUAUAGCCUUUGGCCUCUGCAAUCGGAGAGACUGAGGUCUGCAGCGUAGACUCUUCGGGGUUAGAUACAUUUGUGCUAAGUUAUAGCUUUAUAUAGACAACUUGUUGACUAUAAUUAGUCUUGUAGCUUACUCGCUUAUGCUAUUUUACCUACGCUUAGGAUGUUGAAGUCAUCGUAUCGCGC
rnacentral:rRNA from 1 species